GCUGCUCUUAAUAAUCACACACCUCUCCGUGGUGAGCAGUAGGCAACAAUCUUAUGAUCGGCUGAGAUGUGAAG
rfam:Tncultured Eubacterium sp. TS28_contig185233, whole genome shotgun sequence.